CUGCACCAGGUGCAGUUUAUCCCGGGAAGCAGCAGGCUGCGCCAAGGCUGGGAUGCAGGCGGGCGAGCUGGGCAGCGCCGGGCGCCUCUCGCAUCCCUGCUGGCUGGAAGUGCCAGCCCCACGGAUCCAGCCCCGGCACAGCCCGCGGGAAGCCCGUAAACACGAGGGCGUUUCCGGCCGCGCGGUGCGGACGGGGCUGCCGGCGGCGGCGAGGAGGACAGCGUUAAGCACGUGUCAGCGCUCGCCCACCCGGCCCUUCGUUAGGCGGAUUAAGCAAGUUGCUUAUUGCCGGUGACAUAAUUUAGAUGAAUGGUGCGGCAAUCCAUCAGGCGGCCCCGCACGAGGCCGGCGAGGAGAGAGAGAGAGGGGGGGGAGAGAGAGGCGCAGGCAAGAAAGAGAGAGAGAGGCGCAGGCGAGAGAGAGAGAGAGGCGCAGGUGAGAGAGAGAGAGAUGCAGGCGAGAAAGAGAGGGGCAGGCGAGAGAGAGACAGAGGUGCAGGGGAGAGAGAGAGAGGCACAGGCGAGAGAGAGAGGGGCAGGCGAGAGGGGGGGCAGGCGAGAGAGAGAGGCGCAGGCGAGAGAGAGAGAUGCAGGCGAGAAAGAGAGGGGCAGGCGAGAGAGAGACAGAGGUGCAGGGGAGAGAGAGAGAGAGGCGCAGGGGAGAGAGAGAGAGGCGCAGGUGAGGGAGAGAGAGGCGCAGGCGAAGAGAGAGAGAGAGGGGGCAGGCGAGAGAGAAAGAGAGAGAGGCGCAGGCGAGAGAGAGGGGCAGGUGAGAGAGAGAGGCGCAGGUGAGAGAGAGGCGCAGGCGAGAGAGAGAGAGGCGCAGAUGAAGUAGAGAGAGAGAGGCGCAGGACAGAGAGAGAGAGAGAGGCACAGGCGAGAGACAGAGAGAGGAGCAGGGGAGAGAGAGAGAGAGGCACAGGCGAGAGAGAGAGAGGCGCAGGCGAGAGAGAGAGAGGCGCAGGCGAGAGACAGGCGCAGGCGAGAGAGAGAGAGGCGCAGGACAGAGAGAGAG
rnacentral:lncRNA from 1 species